rnacentral:tRNA from 1 species
GGAGGCUUAGCUCAGCUGGGAGNAGCUGGGAGAGCAUCUGCCUUACAAGCAGAGGGUCAGCGGUUCGAUCCCGUUAGCCUCCA